rnacentral:rRNA from 1 species
CCUACGGGAGGCAGCAGUGGGGGAUAUUGCACAAUGGGGGGAACCCUGAUGCAGCGACGCCGCGUGGGUGAAGAAGCGCCUCGGCGCGUAAAGCCCUGUCAGCAGGGAAGAAAAUGACGGUAUCUGAAGAAGAAGCCCCGGCUAACUACGUGCCAGCAGCCGCGGUAAUACGUAGGGGGCAAGCGGUUUCCGGAUUUACUGGGGGAAAGGGGGGCGGAGACGGCGAGGCAAGCCAGGAGUGAAGGCCCGGGGCCCAACCCCGGGACUGAUCUUGGAACUGCGUGGCUGGAGUGCAGGAGGGGCAGGCGGAAUUCCGGGUGUAGCGGUGAAAUGCGUAGAUAUCAGGAGGAACACCGGUGGCGAAGGCGGCCUGCUGGACUGCAACUGACGUUGAGGCGCGAAAGCGUGGGGAGCAAACAGGAUUAGAUACCCGGGUAGUC